rnacentral:lncRNA from 13 species
CAAAUGACCAUGAAUGAUACAAGCAACUGCAUUGUGUUUUAAUUUAAAAUGUCAAGAAGUAUUGACCAAGCCUCUCUUUGACCAAACUUUAUUCUCUUCAACAAUUUCUUAAUUCGAUUUCCUUACUUGUCUCUACAGUGUCCAAGUUUAGCAAGAACUUUGUUAAGUCAAUUUAGUCAUUCUUCUUGUCAGCUCACCCUGGAUAUCUGAUCGGGGUCCUCGUCCUCCACCAUCCCCCAGAAGAUGUCUGCUCACCCUGGCCUCCCUCCAGCAAGAAUCCUGGCAGGGUCUCGCUCUGUCACCAGCUAGAGUACAGUGGCACAAUUUCAGCUCACUGCAGCCUCAACCUCCAGGACUCAAGUGAUCCUCCCACCUCAUCCUCCUGAGUAGCUGGGACUACAGAUGUACACCACCAGGCCCAGGUAACCUCCCAUAUCCUCCAUUGUGACAUGUCGAAAUCCCGUCUACACUUGAGGUCCGUUUCACUGGACACUUCCUCCACGGAGCUUCCUCUGAUCACCCUAACCCAACACAUCAAGAUAUUUGGCACCUGAAAUACCUUGGAAGUAUUCAAGAGCCACAAAGCAGAACCUUAGAAUCAGCAUCUGAACUCCAUAAAGAUGACCUCUCUGUGGCAGCAGUGUCUGCUGCAAGCUUCAUCCUGGGCAUCUGCAGGAAAUGCAGUGGGGUGCCCCAGCUGGAUCCUCCUUUCCGGGAGGCACUGUCUUUCUGGUAGCUGGGAGAAGUGAUAGAACAGAGCUCUCAGCUGUCAGCCCUCUUUGAGGAUUGCUUCAGCUAAAGAGACUGCUUCACUUAAGUGCACAGUUACUGACUGAUCAACACACUCUGCCCGUGGGGCACCCGGGAAGCCCAUUCUGGCUCCAGAGCUCUCAGUAGGUCAAGCUAAGUCCUUCACUAGAUCUUCAUUUCGGCUCAACUUUGGGCCAGUCAUGCUUUUAUCUCCUCCCUCCCACAGGUGUUAAUUCUAAAAUUAUUUCCUAAUAAACACCCU